rnacentral:rRNA from 1 species
GUACACUCCUACGGGAGGCAGCAGUGGGGAAUAUUGGACAAUGGGCGCAAGCCUGAUCCAGCCAUGCCGCGUGAGUGAUGAAGGCCCUCGGGUUGUAAAGCUCUUUCACCGGUGAAGAUAAUGACGGUAACCGGAGAAGCAGCCCCGGCUAACUUCGUGCCAGCAGCCGCGGUAAUACGAAGGGGGCUAGCGUUGUUCGGAUUUACUGGGCGUAAAGCGCACGUAGGCGGACUAUUAAGUCAGGGGUGAAAUCCCGGGGCUCAACCCCGGAACUGCCUUUGAUACUGGUAGUCUUGAGUUCGAGAGAGGUGAGUUGAAUUCCGAGUGUAGAGGUGAAAUUCGUAGAUAUUCGGAGGAACACCAGUGGCGAAGGCGGCUCACUGGCUCGAUACUGACGCUGAGGUGCGAAAGCGUGGGGAGCAAACAGGAUUAGAAACCCCGGUAGUCUCA